rnacentral:rRNA from 1 species
AUUGAACGCUGGCGGCAUGCCUUACACAUGCAAGUCGAACGGCAGCACGGGAGCAAUCCUGGUGGCGAGUGGCGAACGGGUGAGUAAUAUAUCGGAACGUGCCCAGUCGUGGGGAUAACGUAGCGAAAGCUACGCUAAUACCGCAUACGAUCUAUGGAUGAAAGCGGGGGAUCGCAAGACCUCGCGCGAUUGGAGCGGCCGAUAUCAGAUUAGGUAGUUGGUGAGGUAAAGGCUCACCAAGCCGACGAUCUGUAGCUGGUCUGAGAGACGACCAGCCACACUGGGACUGAGACACGGCCCAGACUCCUACGGGAGGCAGCAGU